rnacentral:rRNA from 1 species
UACGUAGGGGGGCGAGCGUUGUCCGGAUUUAUUGGGCGUAAAGAGCGUGUAGGCGGCCAGGUAGGUCUGCUGUGAAAACUCGAGGCUCAACCUCGAGACGUCGGCGGAAACCAUCUGGCUAGAGUCCGGAAGAGGAGAGUGGAAUUCCUGGUGUAGCGGUGAAAUGCGCAGAUAUCAGGAAGAACACCCGUGGCGAAGGCGGCUCUCUGGGACGGUACUGACGCUGAGACGCGAAAGCGUGGGGAGCAAACGGG